AGAGUUUGAUCCUGGCUCAGAACGAACGCUGGCGGCGUGCCUAACACAUGCAAGUCGAACGAGAAAACCCCUUCGGGGGUGAGUACAGUGGCGCACGGGUGAGUAACACGUGGGUAACCUGCCCUCGGGUUCGGGAUAACGACUGGAAACGGUCGCUAAUACCGAAUAAGACCACAGGUUCUUCGGAACCCGGGGUAAAAGGAGGCCUCUCCAUGGAAGCUUUCGCUUGAGGAUGGGCUCGCGCACCAUUAGCUAGUUGGCGGGGUAACAGCCCACCAAGGCUACGAUGGUUAGCUGGUCUGAGAGGAUGAUCAGCCACACUGGAACUGAAACACGGUCCAGACUCCUACGGGAGGCAGCAGUGGGGAAUAUUGGGCAAUGGGGGAAACCCUGACCCAGCGACGCUGCGUGAGUGAGGAAGGCCUUCGGGUCGUAAAGCUCUGUCAGGAGGGAAGAACGCGUUGGUGGUUAAUACCCACUGGCGUUGACGGUACCUCCAAAGGAAGCACCGGCUAACUCCGUGCCAGCAGCCGCGGUAAUACGGAGGGUGCGAGCGUUGUUCGGAAUCACUGGGCGUAAAGCGCGUGUAGGCGGAUCGGAAAGUCGGGUGUGAAAGCCCUGGGCUUAACUCAGGAAGUGCACUCGAAACUGCCGGCCUUGAGUACGUGAGAGGAGAGUGGAAUUCCUAGUGUAGAGGUGAAAUUCGUAGAUAUUAGGAAGAACACCGGUGGCGAAGGCGGCUCUCUGGCACGAUACUGACGCUGAGACGCGAAAGCGUGGGGAGCAAACAGGAUUAGAUACCCUAGUAGUCC
rnacentral:rRNA from 1 species